GCUCAGAAACUUAAAGGAAUGACGGGGCCCGGCACAAGCGGUGGAGUAUGUGGUUAAUUCGAUGCAACGCGAAGAACCUUACCUGGUCUUGACAUCCCGGAGACCCUUAGGAAACUAGGGGUGCUUCCAUCUGGAAGAAUCUGGAGACAGGUGCUGCAUGGCUGUCGUCAGCUCGUGUCGUGAGAUGUUGGGUUAAGUCCCGCAACGAGCGCAACCCUUGCCUUUAGUUGCCAGCAGUUCGGCUGGGCACUCUAAAGGGACUGCCGGUGUUAAACCGGAGGAAGGUGGGGAUGACGUCAAGUCCUCAUGGCCUUUAUGACCAGGGCUACACACGUACUACAAUGGCCGAUACAAAGGGCAGCGACACUGCGAGGUGAAGCCAAUCCCGUAAAAUCGGUCUCAGUCCGGAUUGGUGUCUGCAACUCGACUCCAUGAAGUUGGAAUCGCUAGUAAUCGUGGAUCAGCAUGCCACGGUGAAUACGUUCCCGGGCCUU
rnacentral:rRNA from 1 species